AACAAACGCUGGCGGCGUGCUUAAUACAUGCAAGUCGAACGAAGAGCCUUUGUAGCAAUACAGGGGUUUCUUAGUGGCGAACGGGUGCGUAACGCGUUGGUGACUUGCCCCAAAGUGUGGGAUAACAGUUCGAAAGGAUUGCUAAUACCGCAUGUGGUCAUCGGGUUUAGAAGCCGAUGACUAAAGCAGUAAUGCGCUUUGGGAGGGACCUGCGUCCCAUCAGCUAGUUGGUGAGGUAAUGGCCCACCAAGGCUUCGACGGGUAGGGGACCUGAGAGGGUGGUCCCCCACACUGGCACUGAAACACGGGCCAGACACCUACGGGUGGCAGCAGUAGGGAAUAUUGGGCAAUGGGCGAAAGCCUGACCCAGCAACGCCGCGUGCACGAUGAAGGUCUUCGGAUCGUAAAGUGCUUUUCUGAGAGAUGAGAAAGGACAGUAUCUCAGGAAUAAGUCUCGGCUAACUACGUGCCAGCAGCCGCCGUAACAC
rnacentral:rRNA from 1 species